UACGUAGGGGGCUAGCGUUGUCCGGAAUCAUUGGGCGUAAAGCGCGUGUAGGCGGUCCGGUAAGUCCGCUGUGAAAGUCGGGGGGCUCAACCCUCGGAUGCCGGUGGAUACUGUCGGGCUUGAGUACGGAAGAGGCGAGUGGAAUUCCUGGUGUAGCGGUGAAAUGCGCAGAUAUCAGGAGGAACACCAAUUGCGGAAGGCAGCUCGCUGGGACGUUACUGACGCUGAGACGCGAAAGCGUGGGGAGCAAACAGG
rnacentral:rRNA from 1 species